CCUACGGGUGGCAGCAGUGGGGAAUAUUGCACAAUGGGGGAAACCCUGAUGCAGCGACGCCGCGUGAGUGAAGAAGUAAUUCGUUAUGUAAAGCUCUAUCAGCAGGGAAGAAAAUGACGGUACCUGAGUACGAUGCCCCGGCUAACUACGUGCCAGCAGCCGUGGUAAUACGCAGGGGGCAAGCGUUAUCCGGAUUUACUGGGUGUAAUGGGGGCGUAGUCGGCAUGGCAAGUCUGGAGGGAAAGGCGGGGGCUCAACCCCCGGACUGCUGUUGAAACUGUAAGGCUGGAGUGCAGGAGAGGUAAGUGGAAUUCGUGGUGUAGCGGUGAAAUGCGUAGAUAUUAGGAAGAACACCAGUGGCGAAGGCAGCUUACUGGACUGUAACUGACGUUGAGGCUCGAACGCGUGGGGAGCAAACAGGAUUAGAUACCCUGGUAGUC
rnacentral:rRNA from 1 species